rnacentral:lncRNA from 1 species
UUAAAUCGGGGCAUCCAGCUGCCACCAGAUUCCUUGCAGGGUGAGGGAACUGUGUUUCUCCAGUACAAAUGGGGGCCCUCCUAAUCAUUUGGAUCAGGUCUGUCCUUAGUGACAGCAAUGUCUGUGAGCACUUCUGGGUCUGGCAGCAACAUCUUCAAUAUCUGAUCCCAAAAGGUAACCCCAGCUGGUGUCAUGAUCCUAGCCAGCACACCCACUGAGCCAGCUCACUGCCCCAUUGGAUGCUCUGUGAAAGGAGCUGCUUUUCUGG